UACGUAGGGGGCAAGCGUUGUCCGGAUUUAUUGGGCGUAAAGAGCGUGUAGGCGGCCAGACAGGUCAGCUGUGAAAACUCGAGGCUCAACCUCGAGACGUCGGUUGAAACCGUCUGGCUAGAGUCCGGAAGAGGAGAGUGGAAUUCCCGGUGUAGCGGUGAAAUGCGCAGAUAUCGGGAAGAGCACCCGUGGCGAAAGCGGCUCACUGGACCAUUACUGACGCUGAUGCACGAAAGCUAGGGGAGCAAACAGG
rnacentral:rRNA from 1 species